ensembl:lncRNA
CUGGCAAUUCCCAGACAUACUACAGAGUGCACUACUUUUGACAAGAACCCUAUGGGUCCUAGUACACUAUAUAGGGAAUAGUGCCCUGUACACCACUGUGAACACAACAGUGAGGGUAGUGGUUUAGUAUAGGCCCCAGCAGGGUACAGGGUAGUGGUUUAGUAUAGGCCACAGCAGGGUACAGGGUAGUGGUUUAGUAUAGGCCCCAGCAGGGUACAAGGUAGUGGUUUAGUAUAGGCCCCAGCAGGGUACAGAGUGGUGGUUUAGUAUAGGCCACAGCAGGGUACAGAGUAGUGGUUUAGUAUAGGCCACAACAGGGUAGUGGUUUAGUAUAGGCCCCAGCAGGGUACAGGGUAGUGGUUUAGUAUAGGCCCCAGCAGGGUACA